UAGUUGGGGUUAAGCCACUUAGCCAUGGAGGCAAGUGAAUGCACAACAAGGGAUCUCUAACCUUCAAACCGUUUAAGGGAGAAUACUCCAUGAUAUGAUUAAGAAUCUCUGUCCAGAGUAUGAAUGAGAUUUAGGAAGUCGCUCCAAAUCACAUUCAAGGUAAUCAUAUAAGUAAAUGAAUCACAUUGGAUAGUAGACAUGGAUAAACUAUCAAACCAAACAAUGUGGUCAAGAGUAUUGUAUUAGAGAAAGACCGUAUUGCAUUGUACUCCUAAACUGAAUAGGUUCUCCACCUCUUCUGAUUAGCUUGGGUAACCAUGACAUACUGCUAGGUGUCACUCAUGGUUUAUGGAAGCCCUAAAUGUGUUUAAUCACUAAAGGGAGAAUUGAAUGUAAGUUUCAAUUCACAAUCAAUUUGAAAGAGUUCUAAUCGCCCACUGCCUCGCUAAAAGGAACCUAAUGGAUCGUACACCAUGUAAGGUAAAGAUUGAAGAAACAGUGGAGAUGAGUAAGGAUAAUUAAAUGGUUUAAUUAUUUAUGGCAAGGAUUAAUUAAUAUGAUUAAUUAAUCAAACGAAUAAAGUUCGUUAAAGACCUCGGGUUAGUUUUGGGCCUUAAGGCCCAAUGGGCUUCGAACGUCAAGCCCAUUGACUUAAGUUGUAUGACAACUUAAUGACUAAUAAUUCACAAAGGCCCAAAUAGCCCAAUAAAACCCUAUGGCCGGCCAUAUUGAUAAAGGAGUGGGUUUUGGACUUAUUACAAGUUUGCCACUCCAAUGAAUGUAGGUAUAAAUAUGACUUUAUAGCCAAAAUUCAUUUAAGGUUUUCUUUUGGGGAAAGGAUGAG
rnacentral:lncRNA from 1 species